UGAUAGAACACAGACAAAGUUAAUUGCACCGAUAUGCCUGAGUGACCGUGCACGCGAGAGAACAUGUCUAGGACGGGGAGGAAAAUUGUGCAAGGCACAGAGCGACAAAAAUGUUACAAAGCUAUACGAGUUUUCUUUACUCUUCUAAAAUUAAUAUCCCUCUUGUAGUGUAUAUGGUCUAAUGCCUGUUGUGAUAUUUCCGGGUAAUGCUUGGUAGUAAUUCGUUUACCGCUGCGAAUUGUUUAUAAAUUUGUUGCGCCUUUGGAGCGAAUCGAGGCGCGAACGACUUUAACAAAUUCUCUAUACAAUCACUUUAUCACAAGCUAUUAUAAAGUAUUUAAGUAGUUAAACAAUGCACUAUGGUACAUUUUAUCCUUAAAGUAAUUACCUACCUUUAAAGAACCAUGUACAAAAAGUUAUGAUGGAAUAAUAGGCGGUAAAAUAUGGAGGUAUGCUUAUAGAAAGCUACAAGUUAGAAAUAAUCGCAAUGUGUUAAAGUCGCUAAAUAGCUUACUUGAUUGGUAGGAAGCUAACCAAACGGUUUUAGCAUUUUGCGGUGAGAGAUAAAAUAACGGGAAAAUGCUCAGUUCACAAAGGCGGAGCAUCGAAUAAUCAACUGCCGUUUGUCGAAUGAAAAUCUAAUAUGGCAAAUAAAUAAGGUAAACUUACAUGGCUUGGCAGUGUCAAUAAACUUAGCACGUGGUUUCUUAGUAUAACAGGGAAAUGUCGAAAGGAGGGUGGAACAGUUCAAAUACGAACCAACUUGCAUGAAACUAGACUCGACUUUCCAAAAAAAAAAUCCACACUUAAUGUCAACAACAUCAAUAACCAAUCGCACUUUGGCUAACCCCAAAUUGCGUGCAUUCUUCGAAACUGGGUCGAAGCUGUCGUCUUUGCCACCGAGUUCAAAGUCAAACAGUUCAGCGUUUGUGUUAUCGUUUUCUGGAGGCGACCAACGAACGAGUUCUGGCGGUUCCAUGCUUCACGGCACUGUGUUUUUCCUCAUGAUAUUUCAGCUUUUCUUUCAUAAACGGUUCAGUUGUGACA